CCUACGGGGGGCAGCAGUGAGGAAUAUUGGUCAAUGGGCUUACGCCUGAACCAGCCAAGUUGCGUGAGGGAAGACUGCCCUAUGGGUUGUAAACCUCUUUUGCCAGGGAGCAACGCCGACGACGUGUAGCCGGACUGAGAGUACCUGAAGAAAAGGCAUGGGACAACUCCGUGCAAGCAGCCGCGGUAAUACGGAGGAUGUGAGCGUUAUCCGGAUUUAGUGGGUUUAAAGGGGGCGUAGGCGGAAUGCCAAGUCAGCGGUAAAAUCGCGGGGCUCAACCUCGCCCCGCCGUUGAACCUGGCUUUCUUGAGUGGGCGAGAAGUACGCGGAAUGCGUGGUGGAGCGGUGAAAUGCAUAGAUAUCACGCAGAACUCCGAUUGCGAAGGCAGCGUACCGGCGCCCAACUGACGCUGAAGCACGAAAGCGUGGGUAUCGAACAGGAUUAGAUACCCCGGUAGUC
rnacentral:rRNA from 1 species